rnacentral:rRNA from 1 species
GUGGGGAAUAUUGGACAAUGGGCGAAAGCCUGAUCCAGCCAUGCCGCGUGUGUGAAGAAGGUCUUCGGAUUGUAAAGCACUUUAAGUUGGGAGGAAGGGCAGUAAGUUAAUACCUUGCUGUUUUGACGUUACCAACAGAAUAAGCACCGGCUAACUUCGUGCCAGCAGCCGCGGUAAUACGAAGGGUGCAAGCGUUAAUCGGAAUUACUGGGCGUAAAGCGCGCGUAGGUGGUUUUGUAAGUUGGAGGUGAAAUCCACGGGCUCAACCUGGGAACUGCCUCCAAAACUGCAUGACUAGAGUACGGUAGAGGGGAGUGGAAUUUCCUGUGUAGCGGUGAAAUGCGUAGAUAUAGGAAGGAACACCAGUGGCGAAGGCGACUACCUGGACUGAUACUGACACUGAGGUGCGAAAGCGUGGGGAGCAAACAGGAUUAGAUACCCCUGUAGUCC